rnacentral:rRNA from 1 species
AGCGAACGCUGGCGGCGUACUUAACACAUGCAAGUCGAGUGCGUAGCCCUUUGUAGCAAUACAGAGGGUGGGCGCACGGCGCACGGGUGAGUAACACGUGGGUAACCUGCCCUUCGGUGGGAAGUAACCCCGCGAAGCGGGGCUAAUUCCGCAUAACAUUCCGGGGACGACAUGUUCUCGGACUCAAAGGAGUGAUUCGCCGG